AAUUUUGUCAUAUGAAAGCGAAUGCUCUUACUUUUAUUUUACUAAUUCGGUACAUUGUACCAUUACCCCGAAAUCAAACUCUUCAAGUUUGAGUAUAGGAUACAUUUUCGCUUAAGAUAUUCUUUGUAUAAAUUUGUUAUUUUUCGUUCACAAAUAAAAAAAACUGACCCUCUCCUUCAGAUAAACACAUGUACUUGAGUUUGCUAAGUGUACUCGGAAGCUCUUCCUAAUUGCGAUAACUUCAACAGUAAUAAGGAACCUGCUCUAUUCUUCGUACAAACUAAUGCCAGAGGAGAGCACUAACCUUCCAAACUCCCUAUACGCUUUCCGAAUACGACUGGUGUAAUGAAAACUCCCGACAUCUACAUGCAAUCAAACAAUUCGUGCCAAGAUUUAAGAGCUGCACGGGGUUUGGCACGAAGGUUUCUUUUCAAACUAAUGCCACUUUUGCCUGAGGGAUUAUGGAAGCUAAUUGUAACAUCCUUGGAUAAAAUGGAGUUUGCUGUCGACAUCCGUGGACAUCGCUCUGGACUACGCCCAAUUCGUGCUGGGGUCCUGUAUACGCACGCGGUACACUCCUGGCUUUCCAUGCAGAUGACACUGCAUUUCUUGCAGUUGAUGACACUGCAUCGAGUGUUUGUCUUCUCGCUGGAACAUUGCACUGAACUUCGACAAAACACAGCACGCCACAUUU